rnacentral:misc_RNA from 1 species
GAUGAAGAACGUAGCGAAAUGCGAUACGUAAUGUGAAUUGCAGAAUUCAGUGAAUCAUCGAAUCUUUGAACGCAUAUUGCGCUCUCUGGUAUUCCGGAGAGCAUGCUUGUUUGAGUAUCAGUAAACACCUCAACUUCCAUAUCUUUUCUGAAAUGGGAGUUGGACUUGAGUGAUCCCAACGCUUUUCCUCACCGAAAAGUGGCGGGUUACUUGAAAUGCAGGUGCAGCUGGACUUUUCUCUGAGCUAUAAGCAUAUCUAUUUAGUCUGCCUAAAAAACAGAUUAUUACCUUUGCUGCAGCUAACAUAAAGGAGAUUAGUUCUUGUGCUGACUGAUGCAGGAUUCACAAAGACAGGCUUCGGCCGACUUUGUAAACUCGAUCUCAAAUCAAGUAAGACUACCCGCUGAACUUAAGCAUAUCAAUAAGCGGAGGA